rnacentral:rRNA from 1 species
GACGAACGCCGGCGGCGUGCUUAACACAUGCAAGUCGAACGGAAAGGCCCUGCUUUUGUGGGGUGCUCGAGUGGCGAACGGGUGAGUAACACGUGAGUAACCUGCCCUUGACUUUGGGAUAACUUCAGGAAACUGGGGCUAAUACCGGAUAGGAGCUCCUGCUGCAUGGUGGGGGUUGGAAAGUUUCGGCGGUUGGGGAUGGACUCGCGGCUUAUCAGCUUGUUGGUGGGGUAGUGGCUUACCAAGGCUUUGACGGGUAGCCGGCCUGAGAGGGUGACCGGCCACAUUGGGACUGAGAUACGGCCCAGACUCCUACGGGAGGCAGCAGUGGGGAAUAUUGCACAAUGGGCGGAAGCCUGAUGCAGCAACGCCGCGUGCGGGAUGACGGCCUUCGGGUUGUAAACCGCUUUCGCCUGCGACGAAGCGUGAGUGACGGUAAUGGGUAAAGAAGCACCGGCUAACUACGUG